GCCAGUAUGGUGGAUAUAACCCUCGGCUUGUAACCGAGUGGGUUCGGGUUCGAAUCCCGGGUAAGGCA
rnacentral:tRNA from 1 species